rnacentral:rRNA from 1 species
AUACGGAGGAUGCGAGCGUUAUCCGGAUUUAUUGGGUUUAAAGGGAGCGUAGGUGGGAUAUUAAGUCAGCUGUGAAAGUUUGGGGCUCAACCUUAAAAUUGCAGUUGAUACUGGUUUCCUUGAGUACGGUACAGGUGGGCGGAAUUCGUGGUGUAGCGGUGAAAUGCUUAGAUAUCACGAAGAACUCCGAUCGCGAAGGCAGCUCACCGGGCCGGAACUGACACUGAUGCUCAAAAGUGCGGGUAUCAAACAGGAUUAGAUACCCUGGUAGUCCGCACAGUAAACGAUGAAUACUCGCUGUUUGCGAUACACAGUAAGCGGCCAAGCGAAAGCGUUAAGUAUUCCACCUGGGGAGUACGCCGGCAACGGUGAAACUCAAAUGAAUUGACGGGG